rnacentral:rRNA from 1 species
GACGAACGCUGGCGGCGUGCUUAACACAUGCAAGUCGAACGGAAAGGCCCUGCUUGUGUGGGGUGCUCGAGUGGCGAACGGGUGAGUAACACGUGAGUAACCUGCCCUUGACGGUGGGCUAACUUCAGCUAAGUGGAGCUAAUAACGGAUAUGAGCUCCUGCUGCAUGGUGUGGGAUAGAUAGUUUCGGCGGUUGGGGAUGGACUCGCGGCUUAUCAGCUGGUUGGUGGGGUAGUGGCUUACCAAGGCUUGGACGGGUGGCCGGCCUGAGAGGGUGACCGGCAACAUUGGGACUGAGAUAGGGCCAAGCCUCCUAGGGGAGGAAGCAGUGGGGAAUAUUGCACAAUGGGCGGAAGCCGGAGGCAGAAACGCCGCGUGCGGGAUGACGGCCUUCGGGUGGUAAACCGCUUUCGCAGGUGACGAAGCGGGAGUGACGGUAAUGGGUAAAGAAGCACCGGCUAACUACGUG